rnacentral:rRNA from 1 species
UCCGGUGUCUAUAGCGAGGUUGAUACUCACGUUCCCAUCCCGAACACGAUCGAUAAGGACCUCAGCGACGAUGGUACUGCACAUAAGAGUGCGGGAGAGUAGUUCGACGCCGGAU